ACCAAAUGUAGGCAUAGUACUAGAGCCGAUUUACGCAAUCGAAUACCGCCGGAAGUAGAACAUUUAUGUCAACACCGGUUUCGUAUUUUCACGUGAAAACGGCCGAAAACUGAGAGGUUAUCAACAAAUUAUAAGUUUACGGGUACCAUGAGGAUUUUUCAUGCAUUUAAACGAAAGAAGUACAAGCGAACAGAUGACACAUUAAAGUGGCAGCAGAAGCUUGAAAAGUUAAAUAGAGCAGGGGCAGUCAAAACAGUGGGAUAAUGCUUCUAUAGGGUCCAACAUGUCUAGUAAGGCUGACAGAAGUGAAAGAUGGUCUGAUGGUACAAUGAUGUACAAAUGAUACUCUUUAACAAGUUGAACAUGUCAAGGUGUAAAAUGUUCUGUGGAUUCAUAUGAUGAGAAUGCCAGUGUUGAUCUGUAUGACUUAAUUAAACACAGAUAUUGAUACCUUCAGAUAUAUACCUGUGAAAUCUUCAGUGUCACCGUUCAGCUAUUGUUCAAGAUCAGUGUCUGCAGCUUGCACAGUUUAGUAUAGAGGAGCCUUCUGAAUCAACUUUGUUACAUAUUUGCUGUUAUUGUAGGACACGCAUGUAGAGAGCAGCAAGUCCUGUUCAGCCGUGCAUGUAAAUGUGAUUCAGAAACUUUGAGAAUAUGUAAACAUUACACUGUUAUAAUUUUCAAAAUACUGUGUCUUGUAGUGUAUCAGUACUGUUUUGUCUCAGUUUAUAGCACAGUAUGUUCACAAAUCAAACAUAAGACCAUAGUGAUCAGUAUUAUUAAAAUCAUUAAUUAUUUGUAUGGUGACAAAAUUUAUUUUCAUGCAAUACCACAAUAAAAUGAUUGAUAAUUUUCGCUUUUAAAGUUGUAAGUUUAAGGUUGGCAUAAAUUGUUUUUUUUUUCUUUCAUAAAUCUAAAAAGUGAUUGGUCAUUAUAACUGCAAUAUUAUUUUAGUAUGACAAAGUUUAUAUUGAACUAAAACACUUAUGUAAAUUUUUGAACUAAUCAAUACAUUUUCUUCAGUCUUAAAACAUUUGUUUAUCGUACGUGUCAUGGCCCAUAACUCCUCCAUAUUACUUGUGUUUUUGUACUUGUCCUUUUUCAUUUCACUGAAGAAUAGGUAGAGGUAUUGCACAUCCAUUUUUUAGCAUCCUAAUUUUGUAAAGUGUUGUAUGUAAGGUUUUCUCUCGGAAUUAUGUCUCAUCUAAAGGUGGGGAGAGGUAUUAAUUAUGCCUUCUCGUCUAUCCGCAUUAAGCCUGUCUGGCUUAAAGAGGACAAGCUGCUGGCCAGAUUUUGAUGAAAUUUCACAGGACUGAUCAGUACCAAGCAUAGUGUUGGCAUAUCGCUUGCAUGUUUCGUUUUGAUGCACUAAAUUGCAGCCAUAGCUAAAAAUAGAAAAAUCUUGUCGGCUUUCACAGGUUAAAACUACUUAACAGAUUUUGAUGAAACUUCACAGGAGUGAUCAGUACCAAGUAUUUUUUGCAUAUCACCAACACUUUCCAUUUUGCUGCACAAAAUAGCCGCCACAGCUAAA